rnacentral:rRNA from 1 species
CACACGGAUAACAUACCGAAAGGUAUGCUAAUACGAGAUAAAAUACCUUUAUCGCAUGGUAGAAGUAUCAAAGCUUUUGCGGUACAGGAUGGACCCGCGUCUGAUUAGCUAGUUGGUAAGGUAACGGCUUACCAAGGCGACGAUCAGUAGCCGACCUGAGAGGGUGAUCGGCCACAUUGGAACUGAGACACGGUCCAAACUCCUACGGGAGGCAGCAGUGGGGAAUAUUGCACAAUGGGCGAAAGCCUGAUGCAGCAACGCCGCGUGAGCGAUGAAGGCCUUCGGGUCGUAAAGCUCUGUCCUCAAGGAAGAUAAUGACGGUACUUGAGGAGGAAGCCCCGGCUAACUACGUGCCAGCAGCCGCGGUAAUACGUAGGGGGCUAGCGUUAUCCGGAAUUACUGGGCGUAAAGGGUGCGUAGGUGGUUUCUUAAGUCAGAGGUGAAAGGCUACGGCUCAACCGUAGUAAGCCUUUGAAACUGGGGAACUUGAGUGCAGGAGAGGAGAGUGGAAUUCCUAGUGUAGCGGUGAAAUGCGUAGAUAUUAGGAGGAACACCAGUUGCGAAGGCGGCUCUCUGGACUGUAACUGACACUGAGGCACGAAAGCGUGGGGAGCAAACAGGAUUAGAUACCCUGGUAGUCCACGCCGUAAACGAUGAAAGGAGCUGUCGGAGGUUACCCCCUUCGGUGGCGCAG